rnacentral:rRNA from 1 species
UACGUAGGGUGCAAGCGUUAAUCGGAAUUACUGGGCGUAAAGCGUGCGCAGGCGGUUUUGUAAGUCUGUCGUGAAAUCCCCGGGCUCAACCUGGGAAUUGCGAUGGAGACUGCAAGGCUAGAAUCUGGCAGAGGGGGGGUAGAAUUCCACGUGUGAGCAGUGAAAUGCGUAGAGAUGUGGGAGGAACACCGAUGGCGAAGGCAGCCCCCUGGGUC